rnacentral:misc_RNA from 1 species
GACGUAGGGGGCGAGCGUUGUCCGGAUUUAUUGGGCGUAAAGCGCACGUAGGCGGUUUGGCAAGUCAGGUGUGAAACCCUCGGGCUCAACCCGGGGACGCCGCCUGAUACUGCUAUGACUAGAGUCCGGUAGGGGAGCGUGGAAUUCCUGGUGUAGCGGUGAAAUGCGCAGAUAUCAGGAGGAACACCAGCGGCGAAGGCGGCGCUCUGGGCCGGAACUGACGCUGAAGUUGCGAAAGCGUGGGGAGCAAACAGG